GAAAGGCUUGUCAAAAACAUUGAUUUGGCUGAUUUGGCUGACCAAAGGGUUGAAGGAGAUGAUGGUUUCAACUCCGCCGUGGAGAAAAGCUCAUCAGACUAUGACAAUAAACUUAUUGGCGAUAAUAGGCCGCCUGCCUACAUUGUCGAGAAUAACUUUUUCAAUUUACCAACCGACCAAUUCAAUGAACUUAGAAAAUUUGUUAAAGCCAACGGUGAAAGCGAGAAAAAGGACAAGAAAAGAAGUUAGAAAAAAUAAUUGAAAAGAGUGAUCGCACUUGUCUACACAUUAGCCCAUGAGACAUCAGAUGUUUUGGCGUCCAGAACUUUUCUCCUGAACAUUGUACAUAUCCAUUUUCUGAAAAAAAAUGCUGUUUUUGACGUUAAUAAGACUGACCUUGUGCACUCCAUACAACUGCUCCUGUAAUAAGACUAAACAUCUAAGAACCAAUGCGCAUCUAAACUCUUUCUUCUUUUCUCCAAAGAAACCAAGUGGAUUUUUAUGCUAUUUGAUGAGACAAUAUUCUUUGAAUUUGUAUUUCGGUUCAAUAUAUUUGUCUCGCCUUCUUGUCACAAGCUAAUUCUCUAUUCUGAGUUUGAAUAUUCGAUCAAGAAAACGUGUCUGCAUGUAUCUCAUGAAAAAAGGUGCGCCCAUCGGUCGAGGUGCCAAUUAAUUCUUAGGUUAUUAUCUAUUUCACAUGUAUUGUUUCAUGCUGAAUUUUUGAAUGCAUCACCGCAUGUAGUUGUAUAAGACGUCUCUCUCUUUCGUUACAAAAUAAAAACA